UGUUGACGCAAGCCGAGCGGUGGCCAAUCAAAUAAACCAAUAGGCGGGGUAACCGUUACAGGAGCAACGCUGCCUGCAGCCGGCCAUCAUAACGGACACAGAUUUCAAAGCGGGUGAAAGAUACUAGUUGCCAACCGCCAAUAAAAGUUAAAGAAGAAGAAAGAACAAGAUUACUAUGUGUCAGGUCUGUGUUCAUCAAGACUUGGAAGACUCUGGAGUAGGACAAAAAGGAUGAUGGGGUGUAUAUUCCAGUAGACACGUAAAACAUCAAGUGGGCUGCUGUAAUGUUUACGUCUAUGGAAAGAGGAGCUGAGAAGCAGUACUUCUUGUUGAGGACAAUCUUGAACACUUUCUCAUACACAUUUAUUAUUAUUAUUAGUGUUGGAUUGUUUUUGUUUCAAUUUUAUUAAUUGUAUUGUUUUAAUUUUUCGAUCGAUU